GCGAGUGGGGUGCGUCCGACGCGGGGAAUAGGUAGGUGGCAAGGUGGUGACGGGGUUGCUGGGCGUAAAGAGCGCGCAGGCGGUCGUUCAAGUCGCGUGGGAAAGCCCCCGGGUAAACUGGGGAGGGGCACGGGAUACUGAGCGAGUCGAAGGCAGGAGAGGGUAGUGGAAUUCCCGGUGUAGUGGUGAAAUGCGUAGAUAUCGGGAGGAACACCAGUGGCGAAGGCGACUACCUGGCCUGUUCUUGACGCUGAGGCGCGAAAGCUAGGGGAGCAAACGGGAUUAGAUACCCUAGUAGUC
rnacentral:rRNA from 1 species